UAGUUGGAUUUCUGGUGGGCGUGACCGGUCCGCCCCGAAAGGGGUGAGCACUGGCGUCACCGUCCGCCAUCUUUGGGGAGAGCGCGUCUGGCAUUCAGUUGUCGGGCGUGGGAUCCCCAUCGUUUACUGUGAGAAAAUUAGAGUGUUCAAAGCAGGCUUACGCCUUGAAUACAUUAGCAUGGAAUAAUAGUCGAGGCUCUUGGUCUGACUUGUUGGUUUGCAGCCCGAGAGAAUGAUUCAAUAGGGAUAGUUGGGGGUAUUCGUAUUCAAUUGUCAGAGGUGAAAUUCUUGGAUUUAUGGAAGACGAACUACUGCGAAAGCAUUUACCAAGGAUGUUUUCAUUAAUCAAGAACGAAAGUUAGGGGAUCGAAGAUGAUUAGAUACCAUCGUAGUCUUAACCAUAGACUAUGCCGACUAGGGAUUGGCGGUCGUUUGUCGACGACUCCGUCAGCACCUGAUGAGAAAUCGAAGUCUUUGGGUUCCGGGGGGAGUAUGGUCGCAAGGCUGAAACUUAAAGAAAUUGACGGAA
rnacentral:rRNA from 1 species